UGGCGACAACAUACUCUUCAUGUGUGUGUGUAUUACGAUACAGCAAUUUCAUUGUUCAUCGAUCCUCGUCAGCUCCACAGUUUCCAAACUACGCCAAACAACAUGUGGAACCCACGAUGAGUCAUGAGUCGAUGAGCCAAAAACAAGUGCGAUUAGAGAUCUGAGCUCCAGCUCACCACCAAAUUGCACUGUCCUUUUUUUUUGGAGGGGGUUAGUUUAGGACUCCAGCCAGGUGGCCAGACUGAAUUAUUAUUUGAAAUGAACUUUGAAGCAGUCAUCCUCGCAGUCCGUACUUUGUUCGUGCUAAUCUGCCAACAAUAUACCUAAUUCAGGCCUGACAAAUGGCCCUACUACACCUGUACUUAUAUCAUUAAACAUUAAGCAAACAUUCUUCCAAACCAAGCAAUCUGCGUGGAUACUUCUUUUGCAAUGGGAUCCUUCUUUUAUCUUUUUUUUUCACUAGAACCUGAUAUCCCAGCAUCAUAAUAUAUGCUAGCUAUGUAUGUACUCCCUGAAUGA
rnacentral:lncRNA from 1 species